UUGACCUCGAAUCAGGUGGGACUACCCGCUGAACUUAAGCAUAUCAAUAAGCGGAGGAAAAGAAACUAACAAGGAUUCCCCUAGUAACGGCGAGUGAAGCGGGAAGAGCUCAAAUUUAAAAUCUGGCAGUCUUUGAUUGUCCGAGUUGUAAUCUAGAGAA
rnacentral:rRNA from 1 species